GACGAACCGUGCGAACGUUAUUCGGAAUCACUGGGCUUAAAGCGCGUGUAGGCGGGACGGCACGUCUGUCGCUGAAAUCCCCCGGCUCAACCGGGGAACGGGCGCGGAUACGACCGUCCUGGAGGGGCGUAGGGGGGACCUGGAACUUCCGGUGGAGCGGUGAAAUGCGUUGAGAUCGGAAGGAACGCCCGUGGCGAAAGCGAGGUCCUGGACGCUUACUGACGCUGAGACGCGAAAGCCAGGGGAGCGAACGGG
rnacentral:rRNA from 1 species